rnacentral:rRNA from 1 species
UACGGGGGGAGCAAGCGUUGUUCGGAUUUACUGGGCGUAAAGGGCGCGUAGGCGGCGUAACAAGUCACUUGUGAAAUCUCCGGGCUUAACCCGGAGCGGCCAAGUGAUACUGUUGUGCUAGAGUGCGGAAGGGGCUACUGGAAUUCUCGGUGUAGCGGUGAAAUGCGUAGAUAUCGAGAGGAACACCUGCGGCGAAGGCGGCAUCCUGGACCGGUAUUGACGCUGAGGCGCGAAAGCUAGGGGAGCAAACGGG